rnacentral:rRNA from 1 species
CCUACGGGAGGCAGCAGUGGGGAAUAUUGGACAAUGGGGGGAACCCUGAUCCAGCCAUGCCGCGUGUGUGAAGAAGGCCCUCGGGUUGUAAAGCACUUUCAGUGAGGAAGAACGCCUGGUGGUUAAUACCCAUCAGGAAAGACAUCACUCACAGAAGAAGCACCGGCUAACUCCGUGCCAGCAGCCGCGGUAAUACGGAGGGUGCGAGCGUUAAUCGGAAUUACUGGGCGUAAAGCGCGCGUAGGUGGCUUGAUAAGCCGGUUGUGAAAGCCCCGGGCUCAACCUGGGAACGGCAUCCGGAACUGUCAAGCUAGAGUGCAGGAGAGGAAGGUAGAAUUCCCGGUGUAGCGGUGAAAUGCGUAGAGAUCAGGAGGAAUACCAGUGGCGAAGGCGGCCUUCUGGACUGACACUGACACUGAGGUGCGAAAGCGUGGGUAGCAAACAGGAUUAGAUACCCUAGUAGUC